CGAUGUCCUUCAAACAUGGAUGUGAGAUUGCUCAGACUCUAGGAAGCCAGCGGGGGAGUUGAUGGGCCUGGAUAUGCUCUUACUGUAAAUGUAGAAUGUUCGUUGUCCUGUAAUUUAUUGUUUUUAUGAAGGUUGGGGAGAUGGUGGAAGAUGAAGUUCAAACCAACACGAGCUAACUGACUACUAGAAAGCUUAAGAUGAACACCAGUGAGUUGAUUUGUCAGGAUGCCAGUCUAUUACCCAAGUGUAAACGGUUUCAGACAGUUAUUUUCCUUUAGCGGGUUAGAAAUCAUCUUCAUAUAUGAUGUUGCUUAUCGAGUAUAUGGUAAUGCAUUAUGUUUAUUUUCUGUUUCUGAACCAAUUUGAUUUUCCAUGUUAAUUCGUUUAUAUUAAUAUACAACCAAACUACUGAUUUUUAAUCGUAAUUCAUAAGUGUACAUACUGUAAUGUUCAAGCUAGCCAAAUUCACCAGAAAUUAGUUGGGGUGGGUGUGGAGCUUAAGAUCAUUCUUGCCACCAGAAUUAAUCCCAAGUUUGUUGGUCGCAACCAUCUCCCAAUACACUGUAGUUUUUGCCUAUAUAAAUUUUCGGAUACUCACUAUACUUAAUUUGCAGGAUGCCUAUUUCUGAAUGCAACAUCGGGGACUUAUUGCUUGGACAACGAAACACUAGCAAGUGAAACCUUUUUGGCUGGUUUGGGUGAGUCUACAGUUAACUCAUCCACGUGUGCCACAUAAUAUGGUGAUGUGAAGAAAAUUGAGUCUGUAAUGGUGUAUGAGCUAAAUGCAUACGUCCUCAAAACUCCUAUGCAUGUAUAAAUUGUUGCUGGUCCACCCUCCAAUAAUUGAGAGCAUCGAGACAAGCAAUGGAUGGAGCUACAUGUGUACGUGUCCUAUAUCUGCUCAGAUGGUGACAAGUUAGCUGUAACUGGCACUGCUACCGGGAGCGGUGAGGUCCCAGUGAACACAGCAGCUGCUCAAUCAACUCUUAGCGGGAGCUAGGCAUCAGAACUACAUGUUGCAUCCGAGGAGAGUACACUAAAAAAUCACGCAAGGCCUAGCUGUAUAAGCUACCCAUAUGAAUAAUUUUCUGCAUUUUCUAAAGCUUUUGCAUUGUUUUUUUUUUAAACAGUCUGUUU